CAAGAUCUUCAACCUACACACUGGUUCUACGUUGCUCAAAGUUCUCUUGAGCUGACAAUCUCGUGACUCCAGAGGCAGAUAAGAAAGAAGGUCGGAGUCCAAAGACCACUGAAUUUGGAAUCAGAAGCUCAGUUGGAAUCGCAGCUCCGCUCUGUGCUUUUGAUGGAAACCUGAGUGGAACUCACAGUGAAGAAAUUGCUCUCAUCCCUCGCAUAAGUCUUCAUCAAUAUGUAAUCCUAAAGAGUUGUCUGGUACAAUGAAAUAUUCAAUAUGAAGGGACCCAUAGCCCAGACAUGUCAGAUAUAAUUAGAAAAUGGAAUUUUAAUGAAAAAAGAGGUCUUUCAAACAUUCCUGAAGACAAGAUCAAAGCUGAAUGGAAAUUUUGACAUUCAAACAAAAGAUUCAAGAGAGGGGCCAAUCACAGCUUCCAAAUUGCCUAGAACUACCCAGGGGAGUAUCUGUGGGAUCCAUCUCUCAUCCUCUGAAGGUGUCAACUCUUCUCAUAGCCCUCUGAAGGUGUCAACUCUUGAACCGAAGUAGUCCUGGACUGGAGUUCUCAAGAGUGGCUGAAUCCUUGGUGGCACACCUGAAAGAGGGACACUUUCUCUAGGGAGGAGAAGAAAGGCAUUGAAUGAGGAGAGAGCCUUGAACGUUGUCACCUUUGGCAGCAGAAAAGAGAUCCAGGUAAGAAUUCAAAGGAGAAUUAGUCUUAGCAGAAAGGAAUUGAGCUGAGGAGGGAAACUAGUCCAGGGAGCCUGGUUGAACAAUAAGCCUUGGGAGAGGAGGAUGCUGCAAUACUUGAGUUUUGCCCAGAGGAAUUCCGUGUUUACACCUCCCUUCCAAGGUUCUUUUU
rnacentral:lncRNA from 1 species